UACAUGUGGGGCAAGCGUUGUUCGGAAUCAUUGGGCGUAAAGCGCACGUAGGCGGUCUGUUAUGUCGGAUGUGAAAGCCCUUGGCUCAACUGAGGAAGUGCAUCCGAAACUGGCAGGCUAGAGUACUAAAGAGGAUCGCGGAAUUCCCGGUGUAGAGGUGAAAUUCGUAGAUAUCGGGAGGAACACCGGUGGCGAAGGCGGCGAUCUGGGUAGAUACUGACGCUGAGGUGCGAAAGCGUGGGGAGCAAACGGG
rnacentral:rRNA from 1 species